rnacentral:lncRNA from 1 species
AGAUUCAUGCGCAGGGUUGCUGAGGGUGAAACUUUUCAUUGACUUUGCUCACUUCGGGCCCAGGCGCGGGAAGGUGCAGGUCGUUGAGACUGAGUGUCGUGGGAACCGAGAGGCCAGAAGGACAGGACCUGCCAGACGAGUACAUCCAGGGCUGGCCUCCAUCCACCGCGUGACGGGUGCCAUCCUCGGGUCCGCCAUCCCCGCGCCGUCGCCGCCGAGCUCGACCUCCAAAAACAGCGGAAAGAAUCACAUGAGCUCGGUCCUCGUCCCUCUCUACCCUCAAACGACGUAAAAGGACACCGUGGCCCUCAGCCUCGCGGUGCCCGGGAAGCUGGGAGAGAGACCUCCGUCCCGCGGCCUGCAGAGCGGACCCUUCGUGGAGACCCGAGUGAGUGCGCGGGCUUGCGGGCGGGGGACGCCCACACUGGUCCACUCCCCUGCUGCCCCUCUCCGGAUCCGCCCCUGUUUCGCUCUCCAUCACUCUCUUUGAUCCUGGGGUACCUAGUUUCGAGUGCGGCCCUCUCCUAAGCGGAGAGCGUUUCCUCCUUGACCUCCUUCCCCAUUUAUUCACGCCUCACUCGUUAUGUUUUCCUUGCCCCCCCCCCCCAGAAACCAAACUCUGGCCAGAGUUAAAUAAAUUAUGGGAAGGGAGGGGAUUCUAUCUUUAUUUUUCGGCUGCUUUUCACGUGUGCGGGGUGGUGAUUAUUAACACAGUCUGUUUCUGUCCCUUUGGAACCUGUGAGAUGGGAAAUUUGGACAUCCCCUUCUUGGUGACAGGGCCGGUUAGUGGAGAGUGCCCUUGGGUUGCCGAGCAAGAACUCAUUGCAGGUUGAGCUCUUUAUAUACUUGUGUAGGCGGAAAAAAAAGUACCCAAAGAGCCUGUCGGAUAGUGUAUUAAUUGUGUCUGAUCUCUUCUAUUCCUAAACUUCCCCUUCUGUCUGAGGGGGAUGUACUCCGCCCUUGACCAAAAAUCUAAGGAGGGAAAAGGGAAAAGCCAUCCCCUCCCCUGGGAGCAACCAGAACUUCACACAGCAGGCUUUGGGAUCAGCAGACAGGGUUUCCGGUGCCAGUUCGGUGUCUAACCUACCCCCCCCCCCCCCAUCCACCCUAACCUAUCCACCCUGGCCUGGGAGUGGGUUUGGUUUCUCUUUGAUUUCUUAACAACAAUAAAAAUCCUGUUGCUUGCCUGAGCGCCUACCCCCAAUGCCUCACUUAAGCACUGGGGAAAACAGCUGGUGUGGGAGGCAGGAUUAGGGAGGUUUAACACCCUGCCGGGGAGGGUUGCUGAGGAUCUGGUAAGUCUGGUCCUAGGGUAGGCCUUGUAAUGGGGAGGAGACUCAGACUUUCUGAAUAUUGGAUGAUGCCCGGGUUUCAGAUGUACGGAUUUUGCUUGCCUGCCUGGGAACCUUUCCCCAUUUCCUUUACCUGGGUCUGGUUUCUCAGAUUUGUAUUAAAAGUGGGGUAAGGCUUGGGCACUACCGGCUUCGGGCUUUAUUGUCGACCGGGUGCCUCCUCACAGCUCUACUAGGAAUUUCUUUGGCUUGGCCAACAAGACUGGAGAAUCGGAUCUAAUGCUUGCCAUUCCCUUCCUGGCUGUGGAGGUGCUGGAGCAGAGCCUACUGAGUAUUAGGUGAAAAGGGCUCGUUUCUUCUUGAAUACACUGCUCCUACAUCUACCACAGACAGCGACACUCCUUUGAGAUCCAGAGGCUGGGGCCGGAGCGGUGGCUCUAUCCAUUCCAGCCCACCUGGUUCAUCUAGGAAAAACCCCUUAGUUGCAGAGCCCUGAUUCAGUAAGCUUAGGAGGUCAUGAAAGAAAAGGGGAGUUAUUGGAGUCUAGCCUGAACAAGGACGUGGGGAGAAAGGAUACCCGGUGAGAGGCCUUAUGGGCAGAUUUAUGCCAAACGUCUCUGGUGAUGGGGGGGGGGGGGCACCCACUCGCUGCAGUGCGCAUGUGCAUCGGAAACUUUUCCUGGGCUUCGGACCCUUGGCCAGGACCUAGAGCGGGGCAUGCGCGGUCUAUCUGGCUGGGCCCUCGCGUAGUACACAGGGAAGUGUAGUGUGCUCGAAAAGUAGGUCACGAGUUUCUAGCCUCGCCAGGAGGCCAGAGGACUACGUCUCCCAGAGUGCUGAGCGGUACCGCCUUGAGUGAGGCGAGCCUGGGGCCCCUGAGAUCCCUGAAGGGACCUGCCUUGGACUGUGAUAUGGGGUGUAAGCCCGAUGCGCUCAUCACUGCAAAUAUCCUGGAAGGGCUGCAAUCUAUAUUGCCCGCUGGGCCGCUGCCUCCAGGAUAAAAGCUAAGGACUAAUCCCUGGGAAGCAAGCUGAGCCUUGCUGUCGCUGUCCACUGUGGCUGUACUUCUUGACCAUGUUAAAAUGCCCCCACCUACCCACAUUUACCUGAAGCAUGGAGAUGAUUGAUUCUAGGAUGUUGGGAAUUUGAGAUACCUGAAUUUUUUAUAUGGGAGGUAUAGAUUCCUUUUCCUCGCCCUUUCUACAACAUUGCUUCUCUCUCGCUUUCUUCCUUCCUUCCUUCCUUCCUUCCUUCCUUCCUUCCUUUCUUUCUUUGGUUAUCUUUCUAGUGUUUUGU